rnacentral:rRNA from 1 species
AGAGUUUGAUCCUGGCUCAGGAUGAACGCUGGCGGCGUGCUUAAUACAUGCAAGUCGAACGGAGUUUAGAUGAAACCUAGUGAUUCUAAACUUAGUGGCGGACGGGUGAGUAACGCGUGGGUAACCUGCCCUGUACAGGGGGAUAACGGUUGGAAACGACCGCUAAAACCGCAUAACAUCGGAAUACCGCAUGAUGUUCCGGUCAAAUAUUCAUAGGUACAGGAUGGGCCCGCGUCUGAUUAGCUAGUUGGCGAGGUAACGGCCCACCAAGGCGACGAUCAGUAGCCGUACUGAGAGGUAGAACGGCCACAUUGGGACUGAGACACGGCCUAAACUCCUACGGGAGGCAGCAGUAGGGAAUAUUGGUCAAUGGGGGAAACCCUGAACCAGCGACGCCGCGUGAGUGAAGAAGUAUUUCGGUAUGUAAAGCUCUAUCAGCAGGGACGAUAAUGACGGUACCUGACUAAGAAGCCCCGGCUAACUACGUGCCAGCAGCCGCGGUAAUACGUAGGGGGCAAGCGUUAUCCGGAUUUAUUGGGUUUAAAGGGUGCGUAGGCGGAUGCCUAAGCGUGAGGUGAAAUCCCCGGGCUCAACCUGGGAACUGCCUCGCGAACUGGGUGUCUGGAAUGCCCCUGCCGUGGGAGGAAUGUGUGGUGUAGCGGUGAAAUGCAUAGAGAUCACACAGAACACCGAUUGCGAAGGCAUCUCACGAAGGGGUGAUUGACGCUGAGGCACGAAAGCGUGGGGAUCAAACAGGAUUAGAUACCCUGGUAGUCCACGCAGUAAACGAUGAUAACUAACCGCUGGGUAUUCGUAUUCAGUGGCCAAGCGAAAGCGAUAAGUUAUCCACCUGGGGAGUACGACCGCAAGGUUGAAACUCAAAGGAAUUGACGGGGGCCCGCACAAGCGGAGGAACAUGUGGUUUAAUUCGAUGAUACGCGAGGAACCUUACCCGGGCUCGAACGGCAAGUGAAGAGAUUCAGAGAUGAUGACGUCCUUCGGGACACUUGUCGAGGUGCUGCAUGGUUGUCGUCAGCUCGUGCCGUGAGGUGUCGGCUCAAGUGCCAUAACGAGCGCAACCCUUGUCACUAGUUACCAUCAGGUUAUGCUGGGGACUCUAGCGAGACUGCCACCGCAAGGUGAGAGGAAGGAGGGGAUGACGUCAAAUCAGCACGGCCCUUACGUCCGGGGCGACACACGUGUUACAAUGGUGACCACAGAGGGAAGCCACCCAGCGAUGGGGAGCGGAUCUCGAAAAGUCAUCUCAGUUCGGACUGGAGUCUGCAACCCGACUCCACGAAGUUGGAUUCGCUAGUAAUCGCGCAUCAGCCAUGGCGCGGUGAAUACGUUCCCGGGCCUUGUACACACCGCCCGUCAAGCCAUGAAAGCUGGGGGCGCCUGAAGUCCGCGACCGUAAGGAGCGGCCUAAGGCGAAACCGGUAAUUGGGGCUAAGUCGUAACAAGGUAGCCGUACCGGAAGGUGUGGCUGGAUCACCUCCUU